CCAUCCCCUCCGCUGGCCCCAA
rnacentral:miRNA from 1 species